rnacentral:rRNA from 1 species
GAUGAACGCUGGCGGCGUGCCUAAUACAUGCCAGUCGAGCGAACAGAUGAGGAGCUUGCUCCUCUGACGUUAGCGGCGGACGGGUGAGUAACACGUGGAUAACCUACCUAUAAGACUGGGAUAACUUCGGGAAACCGGAGCUAAUACCGGAUAAUAUAUUGAACCGCAUGGUUCAAUAGUGAAAGACGGUUUUGCUGUCACUUACAGAUGGAUCCGCGCCGCAUUAGCUAGUUGGUAAGGUAACGGCUUACCAAGGCAACGAUGCGUAGCCGACCUGAGAGGGUGAUCGGCCACACUGGAACUGAGACACGGUCCAGACUCCUACGGGAGGCAGCAGUAGGGAAUCUUCCGCAAUGGGCGAAAGCCUGACGGAGCAACGCCGCGUGAGUGAUGAAGGUCUUCGGAUCGUAAAACUCUGUUAUUAGGGAAGAACAAAUGUGUAAGUAACUAUGCACGUCUUGACGGUACCUAAUCAGAAAGCCACGGCUAACUACGUG